ensembl:lncRNA
ACAAAUCCAUCAUUAAGAUGUAAUCGUUGCUUCUGGCCAAAAUAGUCAAUAAGUCCAUAACCCAUAAUAUCACUUCCUCCAGUGAAAAAAUCCAUCCCUUCUUGUCCUCUCACAUCAAAUCGUCCAACAUACCUGUUACAAAUUGUUUCGGCUUGUAAAUGGUUCUUGGCUCUGUGCAUAUUUCUCUCCUGAUUCAGAUGAGAUGACUUUUUCACCGGAGAAAGCAAUGUUAUGGAUAGAGGACAUAUUUUAAGUUAAAAAAUAUCUUGAUGUAUUUGUUUCGUACAAGCAUGCAGCUUUUCACUUCUCAAGACAUUAACUGAUGGACUGGAGUGGUGUGGAUUAUUGUGAUGUUUUUAUCAGCUGUUUAGACUCUCAUUCUGACAGCACCCAUUCACUGCAGAGGAUCCAUUGGUGAGCAAGAUGGAGAUGGAGAAAAAAAAAUCAAAUAUUUAUGUGAACUAUUCCUUUAACAACUGUUGCAUGCUGAGAUAAUCCUAAUUCUUCUGCUGUUUGUUUAACAGAUAUUGUUCAUAUGGUUUCCAGGCCCACAAUCAAAAAGCCAGGUGUAGUUGAUCAUCCGAAGAGAAAUCCAGAAGAUUAUUUGGAUCCUAAGGGUAGUUCGCGGGAGGUUGUGAUCAUUUAUAUUUUCAGAAGUCUGCCCUUCAUCUGUCUGUUGGUGGCAUUCUUUUACCUAAACAGAGACAAAAAACACAUCACAUCAUCAAGACCAGCAGUUGAGCAUGCUGUUGAGCAAGGACCAGAUGAAGACCUGGAGGCUGGAGAGACACAGAGGAAUGAAACUGAAGAGGUGAAACAGGGUGAGAAUAUUUCAGAACAGGAGAAAGGGAGGGUCAACAACGAGAAACCUGAAGUUACUGUUGCAACAGAAGAAGAAAAACAGACUGCCGUAGUUGUGAGCAUUGAACAAGGUGCAUCUCCAAUGCAUGACAAUGAAAACAAGAGCAUUUCUGUUACGAACACUGAUGAAAAGACACAUCUAAUGACUGUUUCUGUGCUGGCCGACUUAGUUGCAGCUCUGUGAGACACACAGGAAAUGGAGCUAUGGGUGUGCUGUUCAGGUCUUUGAUGUCACUUCCUGCAUGAUAGCUUGUUUGCAGACUCAUUAUAGUUUGCAAUGACUCUUACUGAAUUCUGAAAGUAGAUGAAAUAAAAUAUGUUAAUGCAUGAACCUUUCUGUGUGA